rnacentral:rRNA from 1 species
UACGGAGGGUGCAAGCGUUAUCCGGAUUCACUGGGUUUAAAGGGUGCGUAGGUGGGCAGGUAAGUCAGUGGUGAAAUCUCUAGGGCUUAACCCAGAAACUGCCGUUGAUACUAUCUGUCUUGAAUGUAGUGGAGGUGAGCGGAAUAUGUCAUGUAGCGGUGAAAUGCUUAGAUAUGACAUAGAACAUCUAUUGCGAAGGCAGCUCGCUACACUAUAAUUGACACUGAGGCACGAAAGCGUG